rnacentral:rRNA from 1 species
UACGGGAGGCAGCAGGGGGAAUAUUGCACAAUGGGCGAAAGCCUGAUGCAGCUAUGCCGCGUGUAUGAAGAAGGCCUUAGGGUUGUAAAGUACUUUCAUCGGGGAGGAAAAAACAAAAACUAAUAAUUUUAUUUCUUGACGUUACCCGAAAAAGAAGCACCGGCUAACUCCGUGCCAGCAGCCGCGGUAAUACGGAGGGUGCUAGCGUUAAUCAGAAUUACUGGGCGUAAAGAGCACGUAGGUGGUUUUUUUAAAGUCAGAUGUGAAAUCCCUGGGCUUAACCUAGGAACUGCAUUUUGAAACUGAAAUACUAGAGUAUCGUAGAGGGAGGUAGAAUUCUAGGUGUAGCGGUGAAAUGCGUAGAUAUCUGGAGGAAUACCUGUGGCGAAAGCGGCCUCCUAAACGAAUACUGACACUGAGGGUGCGAAAGCGUGGGGAGCAAACAGGGAUUAGAUACC